rnacentral:rRNA from 1 species
AGAGUUUGAUCAUGGCUCAGAACGAACGCUGGCGGCAGGCUUAACACAUGCAAGUCGAGCGCCCAGCAAUGGGAGCGGCGGACGGGUGAGUAACACGUGGGAACAUGCCUUUCGGUACGGAACAACUUCGGGAAACUGAAGCUAAUGCCGUAUGCGCCCUUACGGGGAAAGAUUUAUCGCCGAAAGAUUGGCCCGCGUCUGAUUAGCUAGUUGGUGAGGUAACGGCUCACCAAGGCUUCGAUCAGUAGCUGGUUUGAGAGAACGACCAGCCACACUGGGACUGAGACACGGCCCAGACUCCUACGGGAGGCAGCAGUGGGGAAUCUUGGACAAUGGGGGAAACCCUGAUCCAGCCAUGCCGCGUGAGUGAUGAAGGCCUUCGGGUUGUAAAACUCUUUUACCAGGGAAGAUAAUGACUGUACCUGGAGAAUAAGCCCCGGCUAACUUCGUGCCAGCAGCCGCGGUAAUACGAAGGGGGCUAGCGUUGUUCGGAAUUACUGGGCGUAAAGCGCGCGCAGGCGGUUCUUCAAGUCAGGGGUGAAAGCCCAGAGCUCAACUCUGGAAUUGCCUUUGAAACUGUAGAACUUGAGUACGAGAGAGGUGAGUGGAAUUCCCAGUGUAGAGGUGAAAUUCGUAGAUAUUGGGAAGAACACCGGUGGCGAAGGCGGCUCACUGGCUCGUUACUGACGCUCAGCGCGACAGCGUGGGGAUCAAACAGGAUUAGAUACCCUAGUAGUCC